CAGGUUACCAUGGUUCCCAAAAGGACAAACAGAAGUUUGGUCUAAAGAAGGGCAGAGGAAUGCUGCCUUUUUCUUCCUAGAGACUGGCUUCUAGAUCCAGGAAAGCAGAGGGAUAUGGCAAAAUGAGAAGGUUACAGAAGCAGCGAGAGAACCCAGGCAGCCUGGACAACUCCCACGCUUCCUGAGGGACUAGAAGAAAGCCUGUUUCCAGAGCAUACAGCCUGAUUUGGAGAGCUGCUACCUGCACAACUGUGUUUUGCGUGUGACUGCACCUAGACACCAGGUAAAGAGCUCCUUCAGAGACAAAGUCCACACUGUCUUUUGCUCAAGAACCAGGCUACCCUGAGCUAUAUUCAUCUUUCUAAAAUCUUUAUUAAAGAUGCUGUCAAUCUGGCACAUUUCCUUGGGCCACAAGACCUUAAGGACUGACAAAAAACCAGAAGUGAAUCCAGUUUAAUUAGGAAUGUACCAGAAGCAGGCCUAGAGAUGACAGAUCUGAGCCAGGCAUGGUGGUGCACACCUGGAGUGCCAGCACUCAGAAGGCUGAGGCAGGAGGAUCGUUGCAAGUUUGAGACCAGUCUGGGCUACAAAGAGAGCUCAAGGCCAGCCUGAACUGCAUAGCGAGACCCUGUCUCAGAUAAAAAAGAUGCCAGGCCUACUCUCCUGGGUAAGCACUUGCUUCUCACAGCCCUUCCCAAUCUGUUCUUCCUCUUCCUUUCCUACUUGGUCAUCCUCACCAAAGGCCUUGGCUUGUUGCUGGAGUCUCCCAUUGUCUCUGGCUACCUUGUUCCUGUCUUUCCCAGUCCAGGUCCAUCCUGGCUCUGUGGACCAGGAAGACACUGCUUUUUCCUUUUCAUAGACUCCACCAGAAUCUCUGACUUUUCCAGCUAUUAUCUGGGAAAUCGAUCUGCCUGCAGUUCCUCAUCGAGUGAUGUCAGAAACUGAGAUUUUAUAACAUGAGAUCUUAAAGAUAAUGUGACUCACCCAGCUAAGGCUGUGCAACCACAGAAAGACCAGAAGCAGCUAAGAUAUACUACAAGCUCUGAAGUCCUCUAAAGGAAGUGAAGACAAACAAUUCAUCAGAAAACAGAAAAGUACCCUCCAUGAGAGUCAGAUCAUUUUAGGCCUGAGCAGGGCACUGGAGCUGGGGGAUUCCAGUCCUGAUGAGCUCAGAGGAUUAAAAUAGAUUUCUCCUCCUUCCUCCCAGAGGUGAAUGUGAGACAUGCUAAGUGUACGUGUGAUGCCUGUAUGUGUCAUCCUCAGUAGCUGUGGACACCUUGAGGGUGCAGACUGUGGUCUAGAGACAGAAGCUGUGCAGCUUCUGGUACACGGAAUGGGUGCAAAAGGGAGAGGCCAGAGGAAGAGUCAGAGAAAGGGAGAGGGAACUCCCAGUCCAGAGAAGUCUAAAUAAAGAUGACAGGACACACCCAUGAAGGCCUGUGAUUAUAGGACAGUCCAUAGAGAAAGACAGAAGGGCUCUGAAGCCAAGCAGGGGAGUCAGAAUGACUAAGAUUGCUAAUGGGAGAAAAUGUAAAAAAUGAAAAUCAAGGAAACCCCCAAAACAUGAGAGGAGCUGGAGGGAGAGAAGCUGCCAUUUCCUAGACUCUGGGAAACAAGACCCCUGGUGUGUGUGUGUGUGUGUGUGUGUGUGUGUGUGUGUGUGUGUGUGUGUAGUUCUUUCCCAGGACAAGUGGGCAUAGGCCAGGUUGUGACCCAGGACCACCCCUUUUCUCCAGCCAGUGCCUGUGGGUGCAGGUAAGGUCAUGCACAUUGAGUUCCUGUUGAGAAGGGAACUCUGCAAAGUGAAGCCCAGAAGAGGCCUCUGAGCAGAGUUUAUAAACAGAUUCUCUAUGUUCUCCACUUACCAUGGGGAGAGGACCUUCAGCACCUCACUUUAGGAACUAGGUUUUCUCUUUGUAUGCAUUGGGAUUAUGCAUACAGGCUCUAAAGAGCCUGAUUAAAGAAAGGAAAACCUUUCAGAGUGAUGCAUAAAUGGGAGGCUGAAGCAGGAGGACUGCAAGCUUGAGCCCAGACUGGGUAACUCAGUAACUUAGUGAGACACUUUCUCAAGACGACCAAACAAACAAACAUAAACAGCUGAGACUGUAACCCAGUGUGAAGGCCUAAGUUCAAACCUCAGUACUCCCCACCCAAAAAAAAGAACGAAAGAGAAAGAGACGUCACUGGCAGAGGAACAGAUAAGCCAAGAGCCCUGUAGAUCCAUCUCAUGGAAUUAUUCAUGGAAGGAAAGUCCAACACAUGCUAUGACAUAGAAAAGCCUUGAAAACAUCCUGCUAAGCGACAUAAACCAAACAUAAAAGGUCAAACACCAUGUAUUGCACCUACCUGAAGUUCCUAGAAUAGGCAAAUUCACUGAGAUAGGAAGAGAGUGGAGGUUACCAGAGGGUGGACAGAGGAGUGGGGGUUACACUACAACAAGGGCAGAGUCUGGGUGAAUGAAAGUUCUGAGGGUAUGGGGGUGAUGGUUGCACACGGUAUGAACUAAUUGUAUACCUAAAAAUUGUUUAAUGGGCUUUUUUUUUUUUUGAGGGGGCUGUACUGAUAUUGAACCCAGAGGUGCUCUACCACUGAGCUACAUCCUCAGUACUUUAUAUCUUGCUAAGUUGCCUAGCUGGCCUUGAAAUUUCAAUCCACCUGCCUCAGACUCUCAAGUAACUGAUUACAUGUGUGUGUGCCAUUAUGCACGGCAUGUUUUGUAUAUUUAAGCAAAUACAAAAGCAGUGCUGAUACAGAUAGGUGAGGAAGGUGGUGAAGCAGACCCAAGAACUGAGUUCAGGUCUGUGGCACCCCAGCUGCACUGUCACCAGACCAGCCCGUCAUGGUCAUGAGAGUGAAAGGCCACCUGCUUCCCGUGAUAGAGCCUGUGAGCUGCUUUGUAAACAUUAGGCUUCUUCCCCUGUUGCUGUUCUACUAGGGAUUGAAGGAGGGCCUUUGCACUGAGCUACACUGUAGCUCAUUUUUACUUUGAGAGGGUCUUACUAAGUCACUAAGUUUCUUAGGUUGGACUUGAACCUGGGAUCCUCUUAACCUCAGCCUCCCAGAAAGCUGGGAUUACAGGCAUGCACCACCUCGGCCAGCCAUCAGGGCUCUUUCUCAGGGACCAGCCACCUCUUAAAGUACACUGCAGUGGUCCAGCACACUGGCUCAGUGAAUGAAGCUAGACCCAAAUACAGAUGGAUCAUGACUUCCUGCUUGGCCUUGGGAAAGUCAAUGUCUCCGGAUUCUCAGUUCUGGUAUUGAUAGAAUGGGAACAACAAUAAUACACAUUUCACAAAUAAUCUAGGUAGAAACACACAAUGCUACCAUCUAGUAAACAACCAGAUAUAGCAACUGUGAAAUAACCCUGAAAAUAAUCAGCCUUGAAAACUAGAGAUAAAAAUUGCCAGCCCCAAUCAGCCUGUCUUUGCCUUACCUGUGUCCAUUAUAGAGUAGCCAUGGAGCAAAAGAACAGUGAGGUUUAAUUUGCAUGGCCGUCCCCAUGGUAACAACCGUCUAGGCCUCAUUUUCCGUUAGGUCUUAUUUUCUAGGAAACAUAGGCACUGAAUGCUGUCAAUCAGCCUUUUACACCUGUUGGGUAGAGAGCCACUAGGAUCUUCUCACCAGUCAGAAGGUAAAGAUUAGUAUAGCAUUUGGUAGAGGAGAGAGAGAAGCUUGAAUCUUAAAUAUCUAGGCCUUCACACUGGGUGACUUUGGAGAAAUCCCCUACCAACAACAUGUCCCCAUUAGGGAUCACCUAGAAUUUGAUGAGCUUAUUCUGUGUCAAACAUUGUCUGGCUUAUGUCUACAUUAAAGAAAACUGAGAGGGCAUAUUCUAUGCUCACAGUCAAAAAGUUCCUAAGUAAAAGAGGUGGGCUUUAUAUGUGCUUCUUUUUAUCAAGUUCUUUCAGAGCUCCAAUUUCCAAAUCCUUAGACUAGAAUUUAUAUUUAUGCCCAUUUAAUUCACUACCUGCCUUGUUGGUUUGGUACCAGGAAUCGAACUCAGAAUCUUGUGCUUGCUAGGCAGGCACUGUGCCUGAGCUAUAUCAGCAGCCCUUUGUUUCUCAUUCUGAGAUAGGAUCUGAGUUGCCUAGGCUGGGCUCCAACCCAGGAUCCUUCUGCCUCAGCACCCCAUAGUGUGGGGAUAACUGGUGUGUAACACCUCGUCUUGCUUUCUGGUUUCGCAUGUGUACAUAUAUGUGGUGCUGGAGAUCCAGCCCUAAGUGUUUGCUCUCUCCUCUCUCUUUCCUGCUAGGGAUGGGGACAGAACCACUCCAACCGCAAUAUCAUUGUGCUAUACCUCUAGCCCCUAACUCACUCAUUCUCUGCCUUUUGGAUUUACCCUAAACUUAUUUAACCUUGGUGUUUUGCAGGUGCAUUACAAUGUAAUCAAGUUUAUACAUAAGGCAAAUUAAGUCUCAUGCAUUUGACGCUUAUAUUUCAAUAACUCCUCAACAUCACUUCUGCAAAUAUUUCAUGCUCCUACUUUCUCCAUUAUCUCCUUCUAGAGAGCACUCAUUAAACGUGUGUAGGGGAUCUUUUUACUCAAUUCUGGAGGUCUGCAAAUUGUGACAUGUGGGCCCAAUCUGAUCUGCUGCCUGUGUCUGUAUGGAACGUUUCAUUGCACAUAACCACGCCCAUUCAUUUACAUACAGUCUGUGGUAGCUUUCAACUGAAAUGGCAGGGCUGUGCAGUUCCAAAAGAGACCAUGUGGCCACAGAGCCUAAAAUACUUACUCUCUGGCUGGGCAUUUAUAGAAAACUUUGUCAACUUUGGCUCCUUUCUCUAUGCCUCUCCCAUGUAUUUUAUUUUUAUCUCUUUCAUCUAAUACAUAUUUUGUCAGAAAUACCUUGUAAUUUAAUAAUUUUUAUCAUUAGCUCCAAUAUACUAUGGAAUCUAGCCAUGUGUCAAUUUUCAAAGGGCUGGGGGAGUUAGCUUUGGCCAUUAACCCUUAGUACUUUCCCUGCAAAGUGGGAAUUAUAUCAUUAUUAUAUGUCAAGUUGCGGGUGCUGGUGCAUGCCUGUAAUCUUGGCAUUUGAAAGGUUACAGCUACGGCAGGAGGAUUGCCAUGAGUUUGAGGCCAACCCGGACUACACAGUAAAUUCAAGACCUACAUUCUGAACUACGUAGUGAGUUCAAGACCUAUAUUCUGAACUACAUAGUGAGAUCUUGUCACCAAAAAUAAAUAUAUAAAUACAUGUCAAUUUUCUCUAUUCCAUUCUUCAUUUUUUUUUUUUUUUUUUUUGGAGACAGGGUCUCUCUAUGCAGUUAAGGUUGGCCUUGAGCUCACUUUGUAGCCCAAGUUGGUCUUGAACGCACAAGGAUCCUGCUGAUCCUGCUGCCUUUACCUCCCAGAGUACUUAUAGGCAUGAGCUACCUAGGAUCAAACUUAUGACCUUGCACCUGCAGGCAAGCGCCCAUGCCAUUGAGCUAAAUCCCCAGCUAGAAGUCCUCUUUGGUUCUUUGCCCUGUCUGCCUGGUCAGCUGAGUUUUUGCCAUUUUCUUUCAAAUAUCCUCUUAUUUGUUUUAACAUAUUGCAUGUAUCUUUUAUUUUCUGUUUCUGAAAAUGCGAAUACCUACAAUUUCUGUUAAGUCUGAGUGGAAGUGUCAUUUCUGUUGCUCGAUUUCAUUGCUAAUUAGAAAAUGCAAAUCAGAAACUUUAAGAAGAGAUGUGGAUCAAUAGCAUCUCUUAUACAUGACUAGUAGGAGUAAAGCCUACCACAGACUAUGGACACAAUGUGUCAUUGUGCUGUACAGUUGAAUACUCACACACCAAGACUGAGCAAUUCCACUCCAAGAGCUGCACCCAUGAGUAACUCACACACAUGCAACCUAUGACACACGCAGGAAUUUGUGAGACAGCACUGUUCUUUAUGCUGAAAAGGCUGCUGCUUGGCCAGUAGAAUUUUAUAUA